AAACUAACAUUAAAUUAGUUUAACAGGUUGCCAUUUAAACACAUUAAAUGAACGAGAAGACAAAAAAGGAUUUGAAACCUGGACAAUUGUAGGAAAUGUAUGCAGUCCAAUUUACACUAUGUAAGGUUGCAAUGCAAUGCUCUGUCAGUCUGUUAUAUGACUUAUUUCACCAUCAGUGGUAUUGUUUUUCUUUUUAUAAACAUCUAUUAUCGGAGGCACUUCCCUGAUAUCUACAGUUAGGAGUAAAAAAGCACCAUAUAGUCAUUCACUAGAUCUUCCAACAAAUGCGAGAGAAUUAAAGUUCAGGUUGUUGGUCAUACUGAAAACACCAAUAUUUACAAUGGUGUUGUCUUUCCUGGACUAUAUUCUUGAUUUGCUGUUUUCGUCUUCAUCUUCACCUUGCAACAUUUUGAUUUCCACUGAAACAACAAGUUUUCUGCUAUGGUAUUCCUCCUAAAUUUGGUUUGCUUUUCACACUUGCAAAUUUUGAAAUGUCACUGUUCAUGUUCAUGUCGGAAUGUUACUGGAAUGACUGCUGUUCAUUAAGAUCGACAGAGGGGAAGAAAGAAGAAGAUCCCGUUGUUAAAAUACUUGUCUAUUUUAUAUGUUUUUUUAAUUAAAAUUAAUUGUUUAUUUUGCAUGUUUUUUAUAGUUGUAUUUGAAUCAUUUUUUUAUUGUAGAUGUUUUUAUUUUUUAGUAUUGUUUUUAUUUUUUUAGUAGUAACGAUAGAACUAACCGUUUUUUUUUUAAGAGUGGUAGUAAUAGUCUAACAUGUCUUGCUUACCUCUUCGCUUAGCUUACUGCAUAUUCUUCCUAAUUUGCUUCGCAUUUACCCUACGUUUUCUACGUGAUUCAACGUUUCGUUAUCGUGUUCUUUUCUCUUCUCACCCUUGUGGAACUAGGGAGGGCCUCCCCGAACGACUUCC